rnacentral:ncRNA from 3 species
UACAGAGACUGCAAGCGUUACUCGGAUUCACUGGGCGUAAAGGGAGCGCAGGCGGACUCGUGUGUCGGACGUGAAAUACCGGGGCUUAACCCCGGUGCUGCGUUCGAAACUACGAGUCUAGAGACUUGGAGGGGUAAGCGGAAUUCUUGGUGGAGCAGUGAAAUGCGUAGAUAUCAAGAGGAACACCAACGGCGAAGGCAGCUUACUGGACAAGAUCUGACGCUCAGGCUCGAAAGCGUGGGGAGCAAAAGGG